rnacentral:rRNA from 1 species
GACCUCGGAUCAGGUAGGGAUACCCGCUGAACUUAAGCAUAUCAAUAAGCGGAAGAAA